UACGGAGGGUGCGAGCGUUAUCCGGAAUUACUGGGGUUAAAGGGUGCGUAGGCGGCUAUGUAAGUCAGAUAGUGAAAGUUUGCGGCUCAACCGUAAAAUUGCUUUUGAUACUGCAUGGCUAGAAUCAGGAUGAGGUCAGCGGAAUGUGGCAUGUAGCGGUGAAAUGCAUAGAUAUGCCAUAGAACACCAAUUGCGAAGGCAGCUGGCUAGACCUGUAUUGACGCUGAGGCACGAAAGCGUGGGGAUCGAACAGG
rnacentral:rRNA from 1 species